rnacentral:RNase_P_RNA from 3 species
GCUCCCAUUGGGUCGCCGUACAUUGUGCGGAGGAAAGUCCGGGCAUGUGAAGCAAAGGUAGCUCCUAACAGAAGCCGUUCCGUUUCGACGGAAUAGGGAAAGUGCCGCAGAGACUAUACUAGUCCCGUUUUACGGGAUGAAAGGUGAAAAGCCCUACUUAGUAGGGGCCCUAUCGGUAACGAUAGGUUGCUGGUAAACCCUACCUCAUGCAAGGCAGAAUGGGACAUUGUGAACUAACCGUGCUUCCGGUCACAGUGUGCCUGCCGCUAGAGGUCUUAUGCGAAUAAGAUCCCAGAUAGAUGACCCUUAAUACAGAACCCGGCUUAUUGGGAGCACUC